UCUGACUUGCUCAUUUCAUCUCCCUGCCAGAUAGUCCACCUUCUUUCUAACCUACCCUUUCCUAUAGGCCAUAGUUUUUUAAUUGACAAACUAUGCAUCCAUACAGUACACAGAUGUUCUCUCUGCAGAUAACUGUCAUGGAGGAUUCACAGUCGGAUAUGAGCAUCGAGCUCCCUCUGAGUCAGGAGACAUUUUCAUGCUUAUGGAAACUGUGAGUGGAUCUUACAGGGCCCCUGAGGUGCUAUCCCCCAGCUGAGGCCUGUGAGAAACAAAACUAAUAGUGUUAAAGCACGGUGUGCUAUUGGGUGCCUCUGAUCCCUGCACUUGGGAGGUGGAGGGAAGGGUAUCACACAGAAGUCUAAGAUCAUCCUUGACUAUAUAGCAAGUUUGUGGCUAGCCUGGGGUAAGUGAGAUUCUGUCUCCAAAGAACGGAAGGAAAUCAGCGGAACUAAUUCUCUGCUCUUGUUCUCCAGUCUUCCUCCAGAUGAUAUUCUGGUAAGGAGCCGGGCAAGAGGGGACUUAGGCCUUGGUGAGCUGGUGGGUUGGUAGCCCGAGAGCACAAUACUGAGGUUCUUCUUUGGCCCAUCCACAGCCCACCACAGCGACAGGGUCACCUAAUUCCAUGGAAGAUCUGUUCCUGCCCCAGGAUGUUGCAGAGUUGUUAGAAGGCCCAGAGGAAGCCCUCCAAGUGUCAGCUCCUGCAGCACAGGAACCUGGAACUGAGGCCCCUGCACCCGUGGCCCCUGCUUCAGCUACACCGUGGCCUCUGUCAUCUUCCGUCCCUUCUCAAAAAACUUACCAAGGCAACUAUGGCUUCCACCUGGGCUUCCUGCAGUCAGGGACAGCCAAGUCUGUUAUGUGCACGUACUCAAUUUCCCUCAAUAAGCUGUUCUGCCAGCUGGCGAAGACAUGCCCUGUGCAGUUGUGGGUCACCUCCACACCUCCACCUGGUACCCGUGUCCGUGCCAUGGCCAUCUACAAGAAGUCACAACACAUGACUGAGGUCGUGAGACGCUGCCCCCACCAUGAGCGUUGCUCUGAUGGUGACGGCCUGGCUCCUCCCCAACAUCUUAUCCGGGUGGAAGGAAAUCCGUAUGCUGAGUAUCUGGACGACAGGCAGACUUUUCGGCACAGCGUGGUGGUACCGUAUGAGC
rnacentral:lncRNA from 1 species